ACGCUCGACACCUACGGGGGGCAGCAGUAGGGAAUCUUCCACAAUGGGCGCAAGCCUGAUGGAGCAACACCGCGUGAGUGAGGAAGGGUUUCGGCUCGUAAAGCUCUGUUGUUGGAGAAGAACGUGCGUGAGAGUAACUGUUCACGCAGUGACGGUAUCCAACCAGAAAGUCACGGCUAACUACGUGCUAGCAGCCGCGGUAAUCUGAGCGGGCUGGCAAGGC
rnacentral:rRNA from 1 species